rnacentral:rRNA from 1 species
GACGAACGCUGGCGGCGUGCCUAAUACAUGCAAGUUGAGCGAUGAAGAUUGGUGCUUGCACCAAUUUGAAGAGCAGCGAACGGGUGAGUAACGCGUGGGGAAUCUGCCUUUGAGCGGGGGACAACAUUUGGAAACGAAUGCUAAUACCGCAUAAUAACUUUAAACAUAAGUUUUAAGUUUGAAAGAUGCAAUUGCAUCACUCAAAGAUGAUCCCGCGUUGUAUUAGCUAGUUGGUGAGGUAAAGGCCCACCAAGGCGAUGAUACAUAGCCGACCUGAGAGGGUGGUCGGCCACAUUGGGAACGAGACAAGGCCCAAACUCCUACGGGGGGCAACAGUAGGGAAACUUUGGCAAUGGACGAAAGUCUGACCGGGGAACGCCGCGGGAGUUGAGAAGGUUUUCGGAUCGGAAAAAUCUGUUGAUAGGGAAAAACGUAAGUGGGAGUGAAAAGCGCAUCAAGUGACGGUAACUACCCAGAAAGGGACGGCUAACUACGUG